rnacentral:rRNA from 1 species
AGUGAACGCUGGCGGUAGGCCUAACACAUGCAAGUCGAACGGCAGCACAGUAAGAGCUUGCUCUUACGGGUGGCGAGUGGCGGACGGGUGAGGAAUACAUCGGAAUCUACUUUUUCGUGGGGGAUAACGUAGGGAAACUUACGCUAAUACCGCAUACGAUCUACGGGUGAAAGCAGGGGAUCUUCGCACCUUGCGCGAUUGAAUGAGCCGAUGUCGGAUUAGCUAGUUGGCGGGGUAAAGGCCCACCAAGGCGACGAUCCGUAGCUGGUCUGAGAGGAUGAUCAGCCACACUGGAACUGAGACACGGUCCAGACUCCUACGGGAGGCAGCAGUGGGGAAUAUUGGGCAAUGGGCGCAAGCCUGAUCCAGCCAUACCGCGUGGGUGAAGAAGGCCUUCGGGUUGUAAAGCCCUUUUGUUGGGAAAGAAAAGCAGCAGGUUAAUACCCCGCUGUUCUGACGGUACCCAAAGAAUAAGCACCGGCUAACUUCGUG